rnacentral:rRNA from 1 species
UGCGUAGGUGGCCGAUUAAGUCAGUGGUGAAAGCCUACAGCUCAACUGUAGAGGUGCCAUUGAUACUGGUCGGCUUGAGUAUGGACGAGGUAGGCGGAAUUUGUGGUGUAGCGGUGAAAUGCAUAGAUACCACAAAGAACACCAAUAGCGAAGGCAGCUUACUGGACCAUAACUGACACUGAGGCACGAAAGCGUGGGGAGCGAACAGGAUUAGAUACCCUGGUAGUCC